GGUGAUGUUGUUGACAGAAGAUAGAGAGCACAGAUGAUGAAAUGCAUGGAGCUUAAUUGCAUCUCACUCCUUUGUGCUCUCUAGUCUUCUGUCAUCACCUUCA
rnacentral:pre_miRNA from 1 species